rnacentral:rRNA from 1 species
AGCAGCCGCGGUAAUUCCAGCUCUCCGAGUGGUAGGGACGAUUAUUGGGCUUAAAGCGUCCGUAGCCGGCCCGGCAAGUCUUCCGUUAAAUCCAACGAUUCAAUCGUUGGACUGCGGGAGAUACUGUUGGGCUAGGAGGCGGGAGAGGCCGACGGUAUUCUCGGGGUAGGGGUAAAAUCCUAUAAUCCCGGGAAGACCACCAGUGGCGAAGGCGGUCGGCUAGAACGCGCUCGACGGUGAGGGACGAAAGCUGGGGGAGCGAACCGGAUUAGAUACCCGGGUAGUCCCAGCUGUAAACGAUGCGGGCUAGGUGUUGGAGCGGCUACGGGCCGCUUCAGUGCCGCAGGGAAACCAUUAAGCCCGCCGCCUGGGGAGUACGGCCGCAAGGCUGAAACUUAAAGGAAUUGGCGGGGGAGCACCACAAGGGGUGAAGCUUGCGGUUUAAUUGGAGUCAACGCCGGAAAACUUACCGGGGGCGACAGCAGGAUGAAGGCCAGAUUGAAGGUCUUGCUGGACGAGCUGAGAGGAGGUGCAUGGCCGUCGCCAGUUCGUGCCGUGAGGUGUCCUGUUAAGUCAGGCAACGAUCGAGACCCACGCCCCCUGUUGCCACCGAGGAGGUUUCUCCAAGGGGCACUCUGGGGGGACUGCCGUCGAUAAGGCGGAGGAAGGAGUGGGCCACGGCAGGUCAGUAUGCCCCGAAUCCCCCGGGCCACACGCGAGCUGCAAUGGCUGGGACAGUGGGUUCCGACCUCGAAAGGGGGAGGUAAUCCCUAAACCCAGCCGUAGUUGGGAUCGAGGGCUGAAACUCGCCCUCGUGAACAUGGAAUCCCUAGUAAUCGCGCGUCAUCAUCGCGCGGUGAAUACGUCCCCGCUCCUUGCACACACCGCCGU